UAUGGACAGAAAAUUUUACUGGAAAGAAGCCAAUCCCGAUGAACUUCAUUCCGUGACUUCAUAUACCAAUCAUUCCAAUGGAUUUGCCAAAAUGAACGACACCUGGUCGCGUUGACGUGAAAUUCGACGUGCCGUAACGUAGGUAUGUAACUGGACAAAAAAAGGGAGAAAACCGUUCAAAAAAAAAAUAGAAUGGGGACACCUGCAUGAAAUCUACUAUAGAAUUGCAUUCGCGAAAACGAGUUUACCGAUCGUUACUAUUCGCUACUCGCGCUGCCGCACUCAAUAGCGAUGAAACCUUGCCCUGAUCUAGAAAAUCUAUU
rnacentral:misc_RNA from 1 species